CUACGGGAUGCACCAGUGGGGAAUAUUGGGCAAUGGGCGCAAGCCUGACCCAGCAACGCCGCGUGAGGGAAGAAGGUUUUCGGAUUGUAAACCUCUGUCCUUGGGGACGAAGAAGUGACGGUACCCAAGGAGGAAGCUCCGGCUGAACUACGUGCCAGCAGCCGCGGUAAUACGUAGGGAGCAAGCGUUGUCCGGAAUUACUGGGCGUAAAGGGUGCGUAGGCGGCAUAUUAAGUCAGGUGUGAAAUACUCGGGCUCAACCCGGGGGCUGCAUUUGAAACUGAUAUGCUUGAGUGUGAGAGAGGAAAGUGGAAUUCCUAGUGUAGCGGUGGAAUGCGUAGAUAUUAGGAGGAACACCAGUGGCGAAGGCGACUUUCUGGCUCAUAACUGACGCUGAGGCACGAAAGCGUGGGGAGCAAACAGGAUUAGAUACCCCUGUAGUC
rnacentral:rRNA from 1 species